rnacentral:rRNA from 1 species
AGCAGCCGCGGUAAUUCCAGCUCCAAUAGCGUAUAUUAAAGUUGUUGCAGUUAAAAAGCUCGUAGUUGAGUUUCGGGGUUAGUAGAUUGGUCAUGCCACAGGUAUGCACUGGUCUCACUGAUUCCUCCUUCCUGAUGAGCCGUAAUGCCAUUAAUUUGGUGUUGCGGGGAAUCUGGACUGUUACUUUGAAAAAAUUAGAGUGUUUAAAGCAGGCUAACGCUUGAAUACAUUAGCAUGGAAUAAUGGAAUAGGGCGUUCGAUCCUAUUUUGUUGGUUUCUAGGAUUGACGUAAUGAUUAAUAGGGAUAGUUGGGGGCAUUAGUAUUCAAUUGUCAGAGGUGAAAUUCUUGGAUUUAUUGAAGACUAACUACUGCGAAAGCAUUUGCCAAGGAUGUUUUCAUUAAUCAAGAACGAAAGUUAGGGGAUCGAAGACGAUCAGAUACCGUCGUAGUCUUAACCAUAAACUAUGCCGACUAGGGAUCGGAUGAUGUUAAUUUUUAAAUGACUCAUUC